rnacentral:rRNA from 1 species
CGAAUGGGCAAGCGUUGUUCGGAAUCACUGGGCGUAAAGCGUGUGUAGGCGGUUAUCAAGUCAGAAGUGAAGCCCAGGGCUCAACCCUGGAAUUGCUUUGAAACUGAUAGGCUAGAGUACUGGAGAGGUUAGCAGAAUUCCGAGUGUAGAGGUGAAAUUCGCAGAUAUUCGGAGGAAUACCAGUGGCGCAAGCGGCUAACUGGACAGUAACUGACGCUGAGACACGAAAGCGUGGGAUCAAACAGGAUU